UUGCGGCUAACAGGUUUCUUUUCUUUUGCCACCUGGUAAGUGCUCCUGCACUCCUCCUCUUCCCCUUCCUCGCUGAACCACAGGCGUGCCCUCCCGUAGCUCGAGAGCCUCUGGUGCCCUAGCACGUCUGCACGCGAGCAGCCGUUCCACGAGCAGCAUCGACGGUGCGGGAGCUGCCUAAGCAAGCAGCGGGCGCACGCCCGGGUCCUGCAGAUCUCACCGAGUGCCACGGACGGCAUCACAUCUCGUGCCGUUGGCUGCAAUUCGCUUGUGGCUCUUUGCCGUUGCGGGGGCGGGACGGUGCUCGCGAGGUGUUCGGGGCAUUGCACGAGUCGAGCAGAGCAGAUCUGCUGCAUUGGCACGGACGCAGGGGCAUUGGUGCGAGAUAGAAGUAUCCCAGGUCGCAGUUGCCACUGGUGGCAUAUCCUGCUCCAAACCAAUUCCUAGUUGAUGCUGGAGGUGGUUGAUCGCUCUUGCAGCUUCAGAAGAAA